UGGAGGUGAGUAGAGGGGGCAUUCCUUCCAAAAGACAGGAUACAGCUUCUGCUUGCAUGAACCACUAACAGGGGACAUGCCAUUUAUUAGUAAAGAAGAGGGAGGAAAACAAGGCUCUGAGUCAGAUGGGGAUGGGAAACACCGGCCCUGACAGGAAAUGGCGUCUCAGCCACACUAUCCUGUUCUGCAGAGGUGGGGAGGGAGCACCACUGAGAAGCAGCCUGGGUUCUUGUACAGGAGGAACCCUGGGCUGUGUCUCUGUGGUAUCCGUGCACAGUAAUAUGUGGCUGUGUCCACAGGGUCCAUGUUGGUCAUUGUAAGGACCACCUGGUUUUUGGAGGUGUCCUUGGAGAUGGUGAGCCUGGUCUUCAGAGAUGUGCUGUAGUAUUUAUCAUCAUCCCAAUCAAUGCGUGCAAGCCACUCCAGGGCCUUCCCUGGGGGCUGACGGAUCCAGCUCACACGCAUUCCACUAGUGCUGAGUGAGAACCCAGAGAAGGUGCAGGUCAGCGUGAGGGUCUCUGUGGGUUUCACCAGCGCAGGACCAGACUCCUUCAAGGUGACC
rnacentral:lncRNA from 1 species